UCUUUUUGUUUAAAGAUGUUAGGUGCACACAAGACUACAUAAAUUCUUCAUGUGCCACAAUCUUUUUGGUGGGUUGUAUUUAUAUUCCUGAUAUAAAUUAGGUGUAAGUAUUUCAACCAUGCAUUUUCUUAUUAUAGAUGGAAUACAUCACAAUGUAGAUUUCAAAACUUGAGCCUGUACCUACUACUCUCUAUCUCGGUUCUUUUAUAUGCAAUGAAUUUACUAUACAUAAAAAAAUACAGAAAUUAUAAUAAUGUAUUACUGAAAUUUAUAUUUAG
rnacentral:lncRNA from 1 species